AAGCUUUUCAUGCCUGCUUCUCAUUCCUUUAGGGCAGAAUUCAUCUAUAAUAUGCUACAUUAAAAUAAAAAGACUCCACAGGGCUACCAACCUUACAGUAGAGGUUGAGUAGCCAUACAUUUCUACACAC
ensembl:snoRNA